rnacentral:misc_RNA from 1 species
GUGAAUCAUCGAAUCUUUGAACGCACAUUGCGCCCAUUAGUAUUCUAGUGGGCAUGCCUGUUCGAGCGUCAUUAAUACCACUUAAGCCCUGCUUAGUGUUGGGAAUCUACUAAGUUACUGUAGUUCCUUAAAGACAGCGGCGGAGUUGUGAUAUCCUCUGAGCUUAGUAAUUAUACACCUAGCUUUCGAGAAGAUCACUUCGACUGCCGUUAAACACCCUUCUUCUGAACGGUUGACCUCGGAUCAGGUAGGAAUACCCGCUGAACUUAAGCAUAUCAAUAAGCGGAGGA